rnacentral:rRNA from 1 species
UUGGUCAUUUAGAGGAAGUAAAAGUCGUAACAAGGUCUCCGUUGGUGAACCAGCGGAGGGAUCAUUACCGAGUUUACAACUCCCAAACCCAUGUGAACAUACCUACUGUUGCUUCGGCGGGAUUGCCCCGGGCGCCUCGUGUGCCCCGGAUCAGGCGCCCGCCUAGGAAACUCAACUCUUGUUUUAUUUUGGAAUCUUCUGAGUAGUUUUUACAAAUAAAUAAAAACUUUCAACAACGGAUCUCUUGGUUCUGGCAUCGAUGAAGAACGCAGCGAAAUGCGAUAAGUAAUGUGAAUUGCAGAAUUCAGUGAAUCAUCGAAUCUUUGAACGCACAUUGCGCCCGCCAGUAUUCUGGCGGGCAUGCCUGUCUGAGCGUCAUUUCAACCCUCAUGCCCCUAGGGCGUGGUGUUGGGGAUCGGCCAAAGCCCGCGAGGGACGGCCGGCCCCUAAACCUAGUGGCGGACCCGUCGUGGCCUCCUCUGCGAAGUAGUGAUAUUCCGCAUCGGAGAGCGACGAGCCCCUGCCGUUAAACCCCCAACUUUCCAAGGUUGACCUCAGAUCAGGUAGGAAUACCCGCUGAACUUAAGCAUAUCAAUAAGCGGAGGA